UGAACCUCCAACCAUAUUUCCGUAUUGAGCCCAUCCCACUCCCGCGUCCCCCUCCCUCCCUCCUGUCGCCCAGUACCCUUGAGCGUCGCCCAAAAUCGGCAACUCGUCGCCCUACCUCUGCCCAUCGCCGCCGAGCCCUUUUUCCCCACAGUCCAUUUCGAACGAGAGGGAGGAGUUCACGGGGACCACUCGUCGCCUAGCACCCGCGAUGGCCUCCCUCCACCAGCGCCACCGCACGAUGCAUCUCGAGUCGUCACCAUCCCUCUCGUCGCCCAGCACCUGCGACUCGUUAGCCUCCCUCUGCCCAUCGCCGCCCAGCACCCGCGACUCCUACAUCUGUUUCACAGCCCAUCUGCUCAGCAACAAGAGAUGAUUCAAGUAUGAUUUGGGUAUGGUCUAUGGAUUGGGAUCUUAGUUGACUCAGGAUUUUCUGUUGUUCCAGUGCCUUCUAUGCUAUGGAAAAAACAAUUUGCACUCUCUGGAGGGAGGUCUACAAAGGUUUGAUCCUAGCUUUACGCACUAGCUCGGGCUUUUUUCAUCCUUAUCAAAUGCAAGAAGGGCGGAGGUUCUACUCAUUGCUGCCUAUGGCCAGGGCCUGAAGAAGCUAAACUUAUCAUGCAUGUAAGAAGAAUUGGAGCUUAACAAUGGCAAGUUGCCCUAGCAUCUCUCGUUAACUACAUCUAGAUGUUGAUGUGCCAGAUGUGCUGUGACUGCUUAUUGAAGAAAAAGUGGACCGACUAACAAAGUAGCACAAAAGACACCUACUAGAGCUUUGUUGAAUCAACUUGUGUAAUGAAAACAGCUUGUGCACUUCAAUUGACUUUGUAAACUUUAGGCAAAGUCUUGUGUAGUUGUGUUGCUCGAUUAUGAUCAUAUAAUUUAUAAUUCAUGCCGAUUUUCUUUUUUU